rnacentral:rRNA from 1 species
AUUGAACGCUGGCGGCAGGCCUAACACAUGCAAGUCGAACGGUAACAGGAAACAGCUUGCUGUUUCGCUGACGAGUGGCGGACGGGUGAGUAAUGUCUGGGAAACUGCCUGAUGGAGGGGGAUAACUACUGGAAACGGUAGCUAAUACCGCAUAACGUCGCAAGACCAAAGAGGGGGACCUUCGGGCCUCUUGCCAUCGGAUGUGCCCAGAUGGGGUUAGCUAGUAGGUGGGGUAACGGCUCACCUAGGCGACGAUCCCUAGCUGGUCUGAGAGGAUGACCAGCCACACUGGAACUGAGACACGGUCCAGACUCCUACGGGAGGCAGCAGUGGGGAAUAUUGCACAAUGGGCGCAAGCCUGAUGCAGCCAUGCCGCGUGUAUGAAGAAGGCCUUCGGGUUGUAAAGUACUUUCAGCGGGGAGGAAGGGAGUAAAGUUAAUACCUUUACUCAUUGACGUUACCCGCAGAAGAAGCACCGGCUAACUCCGUG